rnacentral:lncRNA from 1 species
AACGGCACCAUGAGGUACCGUUUCUGUCGGGGUGGUGGCACUCGAUCACGAACAACUUUUUAAUUAAAUUUCAUAUUUGGUGCAAAUUAAAUGACGAUGAUGAUUUUAUAAAUCACGUCUGGUGUACUUUACUCCCACGUAAAAAUGAUAUGAUAUCUCAUCUAUGUUUUGGAUAUAUAUAUAUAUGCCCUAUGACAUGCACUUUUCAUUAAUUAAUACGACAAAUCGUUUAAGGUGCAUUUAUAAAUAACAUGUCAUACACUAAUGUCAAAAUUUUAUUUUUUUAAUUUUUUCUCGAUUCUAAAUUUCUAACUUGUUACAUAUACAACAAACCCGUGAGUUGUCAUCGAUGACAACUCAAUUGUAGAUGUAACAUAGCAUGGCCCUUCUAACUUAAUAUAUAAUAGCAAAAUAUUCAUUGGUUUAGCAAUAGAGAUACGCACACACCACUUAGCACAACAUAUAGCAUCGAACAAUGAGUUUUGAGGCAAGUAUAAAAGGUUACAGUAUAUGUAGAUAGUUUGAGUCUGUCAGGAUUGAGCAUACUCCCAGAACUUAUAAUUUAGAAGUUCAUUGUCUGGCGAAAUUUGCCAUAGACUUUAAAGAGCCAGCGGUAUGGGCCAAUGAAUUUCCUCAGGCUGUUUUGGAUGUAUUCACAAAGCUUAAGCAAUGAAAGUCUUACUUUCUUUUUCAAAAAAAUAAAAAAUAAAAGGUUACAGUGACUCGUCAAUUGCAACACUCUCAACCACAACACAUGCUCUCUCAUUUUCUCCCUCACACUCUUCCUCACCAAGCCACUAAUCUCAUUACGCUCCGUUCUUUCUCACCAUUCUCAUCGUCGGCUCCCUCUCUCUCUCCCCUGUCGACUGUAUCUCUCAUGCCACCUCACUCUCUCGGUUGUCUCAAAAAGAAAGACCAAAUGCUAAUGAUGUCAUCUCUAGUUCAGAAAAACAUAUCCCAAAAAGAAUUAUAAGUGCGUUUGAAAUUAAAGUUGAACAGUUGUAACUUAAAAGUUAAAAGUUACACCACUAAAGUAUUUGAUAAACACUAACUGCUAUAACUUGAAAACUAUGUUGAUAUGAUUUUUUACUUGCAUCGUUCGAUGCUACGUGUUGUGCUUAAUGUUGUGUGAGUUUCAUUUUCCUUAGUUUAGUGGUAGAAAAAAAGAUCAUCUCCUGAUCUGAUCUCUCAUGAACUUUUAAAGAUCUUAUGCCAUGUAUUUUUAAGUGAUAGUGUAUGGAUAUGAUUUAACUUCUUUAUUUUAUUAAUUACCAAUCACCACAUGUAUAUUUGCUCAGGAGAAGAUCGGAUCAGGAGAGAAUCCUGAUCCUAGUGGUAGUGGUAAACUCUUCUCCUCAUGACAAAUUUCUCUCCCUCUAAAUGACUGAAUAAAAAAUCAGCAUUAAAAAUGUAAGAAAGACUUGGAUAAAAUAAAAUAGUUUUAAUCUAAUCAUCUUUUAAAACUAAUGGCGCAUUUAUUAAUCAAUAAUUAGAAUAGGUUGAAAUCUUAAUGAGUUUUAAUAAAAAUGGAGAAUGAAAAUCAGAAUAAAUUACUUAGAUAUAAGAAUAUGAAUCUGAAUGAGUUGAAUUAUUGUAA